GUCGUGCAAUGGGGUCCCUAAACAUGGAGAAGAAAUGGGUUUUCCCUUUAGUCAUAAGCUCUCUGAUAUGUGUGUUCCUUUUGGCAACUUCAUUCAACAUGGGUCUUAUUUCUUCGCUACAUACUAUCAACCAAAUCUUCAACAUUUUUCCUUCUCGAAACCAAUCACUGGAUGGCUAUGCUGAAAUUAAGGUUUCACAAACAACUCCCACUCAGACUCCUGGAAUUCCUCGAUUUGCUUACUUGAUUUCUGGGUCUAAAGGUGAUUUGGAAAAGCUUUGGAGAACUCUUCACGCACUUUACCAUCCAAGGAAUCAAUAUGUUGUUCAUUUGGACCUUGAAUCUCCAGCAGAGGAAAGAUUGGAGCUUUCUUCGCGCAUUGAAAAACAUCCCCUUUUCUCCAAAGUUGGGAAUGUUUAUAUGAUCACUAAAGCUAAUAUGGUUACUUAUAGAGGACCUACGAUGGUUGCUAAUACACUUCAUGCUUGUGCAAUUCUUCUUAAGAGGAGUAAAGAUUGGGAUUGGUUUAU
rnacentral:misc_RNA from 1 species